CCUGGGCACCUGGUGGGAUUGCAUUCACAGUUCCUCAAAGUGACCAAGUGAUUUGCAUUGAGCAUUGAAAGAUAUCCCCCUGGGGCACCGGCCUAGAACAGAGCAACAAAUAUUUACUAAUUCCAUUAACAGAAGAGAGUUGGAAUUUUUUUUUCCCAAGCGAAUAUCCGAGGCCCCAAGUUCAUGGUGAGCCCUCUCCCCCGCAUGGCCCCCUCUCCCCCCACCUCCUCCCUACACGCCCAGGACUUAUAUAUAGUUCACUCAGUGCCAUUUCCCCAAUUUUUUUCUGAAGUUCAAGACAAGUUGAAGGGUCAAAAAGGCAAAGGGUGUUUUAGAAGUUUAGCAGACAGCUUUUGGUACAAGGAAAAGAGAGGGAGAGCUGGAGAGAGGGAAACAGGGUGAAGAGGCAGGAAUCUGGCUCGCAUUAAGCUGGGAGGUUCCAACCAUUGAUUCGCUCUGGAAUUAUGGCUUAAAAAAAUUGCAAGACAUGGUUUAUUCAUGAGGGUUCUUUUUUUUUCUUAAGUAGCCACCCAAAGUUACACUUUGGUUCACCAAGACGAAGACUCAUCCUUCCUCUCUCUAUGGAUCUUUCAGAUGAAGAAAUUAAGGCUCAGGAGGGAGGAAAAAAAUAAAAGAAAGAAUUGUCCAAGGUCACCAAGGCAUCUGGACUCCCAUAUGUUGAGCUACUUCUGCUUGUGGGGCAGCUGCAAUACAUGAAUUCUUCACUACCAACUUAAUAUAAGCUAAGGAAUGCAAAAGAUUGCCAGCAAAUGACCAGAAGCUAGAGGGGAGGCAUGGAACAGAUCUUCUCUCACAGCCUCAGAAGGAACUAGCCCUACUGACAGCUCGAUCUCAGACUUCUAGACUCCAGACUGGUGCAACCAUGGAUACCAGGACCAUAAAGUGCCUUUGUCUUGGGGUCACUUCGAGAAAACAUUGUAGAUCCAGGGGCUCUGAGCUGAAGAGGAAAAACCAUCAUAGUGUUCUAGGACUCAUUCUUGGAGCCCAGUCUCCAUACUGUGAGGAAGCCCAAAAGGCACACACUAACAGAACACGUGGAAAAGCUUCAGCCUCGUGUAGAUGUUCUGGUCAACAUCCCAGUUGAUGUCACAGCCAACAGCCUGCAUCAAGUGCCUGACACGUGAGUGAUGACACCUCCAGAUGAUUCCAGCCCCUAGCCAUUGGAUCACCCCCAGCUGUCAAAUCUUCCAGCUGAGGCCCCAGACAUUGUGGGGCAGAGACAAGCUGUUCCCAUUGUGCCCCAUCCAAAUUCCUGACCCACAGAAUGAAUGAGCA
rnacentral:lncRNA from 1 species